GAGUCAGGCUGGAAGCUCUUGAUUAAAACAACACAAGUGGAAGCAUUUACAGACCUACAGCAGCUUCGUAUUGUAAGUUUCCAUGUGGAUGAUACAAAAGCCACCUUGAAUGUUUGUUUGGAUAAGCAAUUUAUCGGGGAGUAGUUGAUGUGGGCAACCACUACCCCGGAACUGUGUUGAUCAAUCUAUCUAGAAGGAUUCCCUUUUUGAAGCAUCUUUCUCCUACUUUGCUUUUGUAGACAUGUAAUGUAUCUAAUAAUUGUAAAUGCAAUAUUUCUGACCUAAAUCAUAUUGACAAUAUACAAACAUCUUCUUCACCUCAAUCAAUACUUUUUUUUUUCAUUUCAUUCGUAAUAGUGAAUCCCGCAGCAACGCGCGGGCAA